UGGGGAAUAUUGGACAAUGGGCGAAAGCCUGAUCCAGCCAUGCCGCGUGUGUGAAGAAGGUCUUCGGAUUGUAAAGCUCUUUAAGUUGGGUGGAAGGGCAGUAAGCGAAUACCUUGCUGUUUUGACGUUACCGACAGAAUAAGCACCGGCUAACUCUGUGCCAGCAGCCGCGGUAAUACAGAGGGUGCGAGCGUUAAUCGGAAUUACUGGGCGUAAAGCGCGCGUAGGUGGUUCGUUAAGUUGAAUGUGAAAGCCCCGGGCUCAACCUGGGAACUGCAUCCAAAACUGGCGAGCUAGAGUAGGGCAGAGGGUGGUGGAAUUUCCUGUGUAGCGGUGAAAUGCGUAGAUAUAGGAAGGAACACCAGUGGCGAAGGCGACCACCUGGGCACAAAAUGACACAGAGGUGCGAAAGAGUGGGGAGCAAACAGG
rnacentral:rRNA from 1 species